GGAAAAAGGGGAGGGAAAAAGAGGAAGAACAACAUUCUGCAGGAGCAAGCAGCAAGAAAGCAAAACAAGCGAAAAUUGAAAAAAAGGGUCCAAUCCUAGAGCAGUUGGAGUCACCUGGGUCUUCUGCUGCUCUAACAGCAGAACUGUCAGUACUGGCCAUCAACACAGUCAGUACUCCACAUUCCUCUUUCCCCCUUUUCCUACAUUAUUCCCUUUUAAUGAUGUAAAGUGUGUACUCGUGACCAAUGUGAAAUGCACUUAAAAUAAACUCUGACUUUACUACUAACAUUUCAUUAUUUCCUGGCUUUAAAACAUACGUUGGUGAAGACCAGAGGACGUAUGUUGGGUCGUAUCUUUGCUCCUAGAUGUGUAACGAGCUGGGACAUAUCUGGAUGGAAUCAGGUGUGAGUGAGGACGCCAUGUCUGGACACAUCCAGCUCAUCAUAUCGGGGAGACCGAUAUAAUAUCGGGGGAGACCCUUCUAUGGGGACAGUCUUUCUGAACCCUUUUUUCUACGAGUAAUCAGGUGACGUGGUGGAGAAAUGGGUCUGCAACAAAAAAGAGGAUAUGAAGAUAGUGAAAGCUGAAUGAGGACAAGGCCUCAACUGGAUUAAAAGUUUCAUUAAUGAAUGUAAUU